UUACGGGGUGGAUGCCACCGCCUUUCCCGACUGGACCGAAACGGUGCGCCCCCUCCCCCCGCUCGAAUCAUCCACCGCGGCGACCUAGAGCCGCCAUCCCGCCGCCGCCCUCCUCUCUCGGCACCUCCCGGCGACGCCGCCCUCCUUCUCCUCCUCCCCUCGGCAACUCUCGACGCCUUUGCAACCCGCAGCCCGAAGCCAAGCCCGGGAGGCCUCCUGAUCUCUCCGUCGCUGCAGCUUUCGGACCUUCUGACCACGACAACGGGCGACCCCGGCAAGCCCCGCCGUUUCUGGAGUCGGUAUGCCAUUUUUCUGCAUAUGCCCCAAGAUAUGAGACACUCGGCUUCAACGGAUUGAAAAGAUGGCAUCAAAAGGUCCCCGGUCGAAGCUAGAUCAUGAGACAAGAGCUAGACGCAAGAAGGCUCUUGAAGCUCCAAGGGAGCCUCGGAAGCCAAAAGCUCACUGGGACCAUGUUCUUGGGGAAAUGGUUUGGCUGGCAAAGGAGUUUGAGUCUGAGAGAAAAUGGAAGUUGUCCAUGGCUAAAAAGAUUGCUCAAAGGGCCAACAUGGGUAUAGUUGACCAAGCAACAAAGGAUGAGAAAAAACAGAAGGAGGGGGAACAUCGCCUGAGAAAAGUCGCCCUAAAUAUUUCUAAGGACGUGAAGAAGUUCUGGACCAAAAUAGAGAAGUUGGUUCUCUAUAAGAAUCAACUAGAAGUUGAGGAAAGGAAGAAGAAGGCCCUCGAUAAGCAGCUUGAUUUCCUUUUAGGUCAGACUGAAAGAUAUUCUACAAUGUUGGCUGAAAACCUCGUGGAUGUUCCACAUCUGCAAACACAAGAAAAUGGACCGCUGCAGACAAAUGUACCAUCCCAGGAGGAAGUAGCAGAACCUUCGCAGAUGAAUCAACCAUCGCAGGAGAAAGUUGCAGAACCUCUGCAGACAAAUCAACUAUCCCAUGAGGAAGUAACCGAAGAGAACACAAAUGAGCCAAUGCCUGACGAUCUAGAUAAAAUGGAAACUGAUGAUGAUUACAAUAGCUCCUUGAACGAAGAACUGGAAGAUGAUGAGCACACAAUUGAUGAGGAUGAAGCUCAAAUCACGAAGGCUGAGCGCAAUGAAGAAUUAGCUGCUUUGCAGGCAGAAGCUGAUCUAUCACUGGAUGAUAUUCUCAAAUUGUAUACCAAAACUAAAGCUCAAGCAGUCUCAGUUAGCAGGGAGAGCAGUCCAGCUAGCAAAGAUACUUUCAUUAACUCAGAUUUGAAGAAUUUGAUUAAAGAUCCUUCAAACCAAGCUAAUGGCUGUAAUCAUGAAUCUGGUGGUACUUCAAGUGAUGAAGGCAAUUAUUCUGAGGAAUUUGAUGAUAGCUACUCUUACACUGAGUUUGUGAAGAAGAAUCAUGGCAAAGGUAAUGGCAGUAUCCCCUCUGUUGGUGAGCAGGAGGACAAAGAUUAUGUUGCUACUGACGAAGGAAAGGAUGAUGAAGCAACUUUAUCUGAAGAGGAAGAGCUGGCAAAGGAAGACAGCCCUGAUCCUCCGGAUGAGAUAAAGUUACUGCAGAAAGAGAGCGAGAUCCCACUAGAGGAACUUCUAGCGAGGUACCAAAUGGAUGGCUAUGCAGAUGAUGUAACUACAGAAUUGGAGAAUUCACCCACUCAUUCUAAUGAAGACGUUAAUACUGACAUGUCUUUGGAUGGUCGAUCUGCGGACAUUUUGAAACUGAACAAUGACACCCUUGAAAAUCAUGAAAUAUCAGACAUGCUGGAAACAGAGCAUGUGAGCGGUGAUGCCCUACAACUAGAGAUAGUAUCAGAGCCUAGCUUACAAGGAUGUUCUGUUAAAGAAGAUGAGCUGAUUGAUGCUAAGGUGAUGGCCGAUGAGGAGACUGGUGACAGUGUAAUUGAUGAUGCUGCUGCUGCUGCAAGAUCAGCACAACCAACUGGGAACACCUUCUCAACAACAAGCGUACGGACGAAAUUCCCAUUCCUCCUCAAACAUUCUCUUCGGGAAUACCAGCAUAUUGGGUUGGACUGGUUGGUUGCUAUGUAUGAAAAGAGGCUGAAUGGAAUUCUAGCAGAUGAAAUGGGUUUAGGAAAGACGAUAAUGACUAUCUCCUUGCUGGCACACCUUGCAUGUGAGAAGGGGAUAUGGGGCCCUCAUCUUAUUGUCGUGCCAACCAGUGUUAUGUUAAAUUGGGAGACUGAAUUUCUGAAGUGGUGUCCUGCCUUUAAAAUACUGACAUAUUUUGGAAGUGCAAAGGAGAGAAAGCAGAAACGUCAGGGUUGGAUGAAACCAAAUUUUUUCCAUGUAUGCAUCACGACAUACAGACUUGUUAUUCAGGACUCCAAAGCGUUCAAGCGAAAAAAGUGGAAGUAUCUUAUUCUUGAUGAGGCUCAUCUGAUAAAGAACUGGAAAUCACAAAGAUGGCAGACUCUGCUAAAUUUUAAUUCGAAACGACGUAUCCUUUUGACUGGAACUCCUUUGCAAAAUGACCUUAUGGAACUUUGGUCUCUCAUGCAUUUUUUGAUGCCCCAUGUAUUCCAGUCUCACCAAGAGUUCAAGGAUUGGUUCUGCAAUCCAAUUUCAGGAAUGGUGGAGGGCCAAGACAAGGUAAACAAGGAAGUUAUAGAUCGGUUGCACAAUGUCCUUCGUCCAUUUAUACUACGCCGAUUGAAACGAGAUGUUGAGAAACAGUUACCACAGAAGCAUGAGCAUGUCAUUUAUUGCCGACUUUUCAGAAGACAAAGGAACUUAUAUGAAGAUUUUAUUGCCAACUCAGAGACACAAGCAACACUGACAAGUGGGAAUUAUUUUGGUAUGAUUAGUAUCAUUAUGCAACUCAGAAAGGUUUGUAACCACCCAGAUCUUUUUGAAGGCCGUCCAAUUAUCAGCUCAUUUGACAUGGCAGGAAUUAACAUGCAGAUCAGCUCUUCUGUUUGCAUGGUCCUUGAUAAGGGGCCAUUUUCUCAGGCUGAUCUAUCUGAUAUGAACCUUGUAUUUACCCAAAAUGAAUUUAAAAUGACUUCUUGGGAGGUGGAUGAGAUUGCUGCUGCCUUUUCUCCCGGCAUCAUUUCUAGGGGUUCUGGUGCAGAGUUCUCCUACUCUAACAUGGGUGGUAAGAGAAGUAUCGGGACAAAUGUUUUUGAAGAAAUUCAGAAUGCCUUGCAGGAGGAGAGAAUGAAAGAAGGCAAAGAAAGAGCAGCUUCAAUUGCAUGGUGGAAUAGGAUAAGAUGCCAGAAGAGGCCUGUUUAUGGCACAAAUGUUAGAGAGGUUCUGACCAUAAGACACCCUAUUUGUGAUGUUCUUGAGAAGAAGAGCAAUCCUUUGUGCCACAUGGAUUUUUCCUCGAGUCUUGCAGAUCUUGUUCUUUCAUCAGUGGAGCACUUCAAUAAAAUGCUUGGCUUUAUCGAAUCAUUUACUUUUGCAAUUCCUGCUGCACGGGCUGCUACUCCUAUUUGCUGGUGCAAAAAAAGGAAGUCUCCUGUUCUUCUUGAACCAGCAUACAGAGAACUAUGCAUGAAUGAGUUCUCUCCCAUUCUCUCUCCUAUCAGGCCUGCCAUUGUCCGCCGUCAAGUGUACUUUCCUGACAGGCGCUUGAUCCAGUUUGACUGUGGGAAGUUGCAGGAGCUUGCUAUUUUGCUGAGACGUUUGAAGUCAGAAGGACACAGGGCCUUGAUAUUUACUCAGAUGACUAAGAUGCUUGAUACUUUGGAGGAGUUCAUUAAUUUGUAUGGGUAUACAUAUUUGAGGUUAGAUGGUUCUACCCAGCCAGAAGAGAGGCAGACACUAAUGCAGAGGUUUAAUACAAACCCAAAGUUUUUUCUUUUCAUUUUAUCCACUCGUAGUGGUGGUGUGGGAGUCAACCUAGUAGGCGCAGACACUGUUAUAUUCUAUGACAGUGACUGGAACCCUGCAAUGGAUCAACAAGCCCAAGACAGAUGUCACAGGAUAGGACAAACUCGGGAAGUUAACAUCUAUAGACUAAUUAGUGAAAGCACUAUAGAGGAGAAUAUUCUCAAGAAAGCAAAUCAGAAGCGAGCUCUUGAUGAUUUAGUGAUACAACGUGGUAGUUACAAUACAGAAUUCUUCAAGAAACUUGACCCUAUGGAGUUUUUUUCUGGCCAUGCACCUCUUAAUGUCAAAGAUCAGCAGAAGGAUCGCUCUAUGCCUUCUGUAUCCUCAAAUGAAACAGGUCUGGCACUGUCAAACGCAGAUGUUGAAGCAGCUAUUAGGCAGGCAGAAGAUGAAGCUGACUAUAUGGCUCUGAAAAGGUUGGAGCAGGAAGAGGCUGCUGACAAUCAAGAAUUCAGUGAGGAGGCUGCUGGAAGACUUGAGGACGAUGAGCUUGUAAAUGAGGAAGAAGCGAAACGUGACGAGCACAGUAGUGAAGACAAUAAACAUCAAUGUUCUGAUGUGGAUAAGGACAAAAAUGUUGCUUUACCUAUGAACCAAUUAGAUGAAGAGAAGGCUCUUACAUUGGCUGCAGGUGAUGGAGAUAUGGAUAUGCUUGCUGAUGUAAAGCAGAUGGCUGCUGCAGCUGCAGCAGCAGGACAAGCGAGUUCAUCUUUCGAAAAUCAGCUCCGGCCAAUUGAUAGAUAUGCAAUGCGUUUUUUGGAGCUCUGGGAUCCUAUAAUUGACAAUGCUGCUGUAAACUAUCAGGCGAAUGUUGUAGAGGAAGAGUGGGAACUUGAACGCAUUGAAAAACUCAAAGAGGAUUUAGAAGCAGAAAUUGAUGAAGACCAGGAACCACUAUCUUAUGAGACAUGGGAUGUUGAUUUUGCUACUACAGCAUAUCGCCAACAUGUUGAGGCUCUAGCUAAAAAGCAGUUGUUGGAAGAGCAGGAAAAACAAGCUCGUGAAGCAGCCAAAGAGUUGGAGGAAACGAAUGAUAUAAUGAGGUGCAGUCACCGCAAAACGUCAAAGAAGAACAAAAGAAAGGCAGGCAAGUUUAAAUCCUUAAAAAGGGGACGUUUGUCAUCUGAGUCAGAGGCCAUGCUUGAUGAAACGUCUGUAGAUACUAUGAGUAUUGAUGACAAUGCACCCUCUCCAGAGCUUAUGAGUGAUGAAUCACCACACCAUUAUUCUAAUAAACGUAAAAAGAUGACGUCUGGAAAUGAGGAAGUCAACAGCAGUAGCAGAAGCCUGAAGAAGUUUAAGAAAGCCCCUAAAUCAAAUUGUAUUUCAGAGUCCUCAUCGCGUAAGCACUUGCUUGAAGGCAAGCGGCUUAAGUUGAAAGACAAAGUUAAUGAUUCUGAUCCCAAAUUGAUGAGCAUUAAGAGUGAUGGCCGCAUUUCCACCCCCUGCAUGCCAGUAAAACGUGUUAUGGUAAUUAAGCCUGAGAGGUUGAAGAGGAAGGGUCUUAUAUGGCCUCGAGAUUGUGCGUCUGAUUCAUGGACUACUGAGGAAGAUGCUGUUCUUUGUGGAACUGUACAUGAGUACGGUCCUGUUUGGGAACUGGCUAGUGAGUUUCUUCAUUCCAUACCAGGUGGUGCAUUUUAUAGGGGAAGAUAUCGUCAUCCUGUGCAUUGCUGUGAGAGAUUCCGAGAAUUAAUCUGCAAACAUGUAUUGUGUGCAACUGACAAGUCAAACAGUGAGAAGGAGAAGGCUCCUUCUGGUACUGGGAAGGCUAUCUUGAAAGUAUCUGAGGAUCAAACUCGGAUGUUGCUGAAUGUCAUCAGUGAAAUUCCAAACAAUGAGCUGCUUCUCCAGAAACAUUUCGUGGCCAUACUUUCCUCUGUUUGGAGAUCCAAAUGUGAUCGUGAACCCUGCCGUGUUACAAGUACUUGCUCUAGUGCACCCCAUCAGCCUGUUAGAUUGAGUGAGAACUGGUCCAUGACAAACUGCAGACCAACCUCUAAUCUCCUAAAGACAGCCCUUGCAGAUACUCAGGCCCAAUGUCCAAGAGCGGUAAUACCGAGGAACCAGGAAUCCCGCCGGAACUAUUUGGAAUUAGUAUUGGAUUUCCAUACAGACCAACAUGUUUAUGAUACAGACUUUCCAUCUGUAGUUAAUGUGUCCAUUCUAGAACCAGAACCUGUUAAACGUGCUGUUGUGCUGGUGGACCAAUCACUGCUGUCUGGACUUUCUCAUAGAAAUGAUGAGAACAGAUUCAGGAUACCAUCCGAAGCUUGUUUUGAUGGGGAAGGAGCUCACUGGGCAUCAUCUGCUUUCCACAUUUAUGAUGCUGUUCAUCAUAAAGCUGGCCCAAAGUACGUAGGAAAGCACAAAGCAGCUUCAGAACCAGGAAGACCUCCAAAAUCCAAAAUUCAGAGGACUACUGAACCGCAGGAAGUGCCAACUGCUAGGAAUGAUUAUCUCCGGGCUCCGGAUCAACUUUUGAGAAGUGCAGCUGAGUUCCACAUUACGCACUCCCUCUCUGACCUUGGCAUUAAUGAUUCUGAAUUCACCUACUUCGAAGAUCUUCCUCUAAAUACUGACACUGAGUUCGCUCCUUGCCAGUAUGAGUACGACCUUGCUUCCCUUCCUGUUAUAGAGGAGUUGGAUCCUCUUUCAGAUUUCACAGACAUUGGAUGAGAACGAAUGAGAAUAUUGGUCUGGAUAGCAUGCCCUUCUAUCAAGAGCACAGAAGAUUGUCUCUGCAGGAGCCCAAGGAUAUCGAUCGAGUUGCUCAGCCAUGCUUAGAUUUUCUUGCAAGCUUGAUUAUGAUUGGCAGGAGCGAUGUCGUUGGCUUGGCGAGGCCACUGAUCUGAUAAGUUUGGAGGAUGGUUCUGCACUAAUGGAGGCAUUGGGUACUCUCUAUACAUGUAUGUAUAUUGGUAGUCUAGGAUCUCAGGAUAUAGAAAAGAGCCUCCCCCAUUUGUGUUGUCGGGAGAUCUUGUAACUUAACCACACUUUGAAUUUUGUUUAGCAGAUGCCAACAGAGAAAGGAAAAGAGGGGGCCCUCGGUGCAACCCAACCGUUGUUCUUGAUUUGCUCAUUGUAGUCCAGUCAUCUUGUGAUCUGGCACUGGAAAAUUUACAGAUAUGUUAGCUCCGCAGUGACCGUCUUAUCUCAGCCAAUCAGUGUCCCACCUGGAGGAACAGAAUUCUUAUUUGUAUCUAUCCUGAAGUCUUUAGGGGGGAUUUGCUGCCUGAGGUGGAUCCUAGUGCAGGUUGGUGACGCAGCUGAUCGGUGCCCAGACUGAAAUAGAUGCAUCAUUUCUGUCUGAUCACAAGAAAAGAGCAUGGAGACAUCUCACUGGCGUAAUCAGGAGUUAAGAUGUGAGGUCUCAGGUAUGGUUAGUUGUAGCAGAUCCAGCAGAAAAUUUAGCAGCAGUAGUGAAGACUUGUUGUAUUUCUAUGUCCUAUUCUAAGUGCGGUAUGUGCCCAGCCUUGCUUUAUCAUACGGCGCUUUGAGAUUAGAAAAUCCAUCCCCGAUCCCCUUUCUGUCUCUCGUAUCUCCUCCCAUCUGUGUCUGUGGUUAUCUGCCCAAACCUCUUCUCCCGUCUCUCUCUCACUGCCGUUCUCCAUCCCUGAUUUUCUCAUCGAUCUCCACCAAGGCUCCGAGCCUAAAUCUCGAACCUGCUCACCUCUGACCACUCUCCAUAGCCGCCCCCUUACCUUGUUUCACAAAGAAGAUGUCGGUGGCUACGUGGUGGCCCUUGACGACGAGUCGGCAGGGACGAAGUCGAUGCUGGUGGCGGCGAGCACGAGAUUCCAGGAAGAUGGCCAUCGAUAGCUAUUACAUAGGCGACACUGGGAGACGAGGUUGGGGGGGUUGCACAGUCGUCAACUAGUUCAACCACUUGGUUUCUUGGUUGUGUGUUUGAUGAUUGCAUAAUGAACUCUAAUUCCAUGUUCGAUUUUGGCUAGUUGUUGAGCUAUCAAUCCUAAACUAAUGUGCGAGACAUGGACUACCAACACUUUUUAAAAACUAGAAUUUUCUAGGUUUCAACGAUGAAAAUUUGGCUAUCUGGUUAUUGUUAGUCCUAUGAUGGUUGUAAUUUAUAAGUAGGCUCGUCUUGUGGUCGACGACAGAGACCCUUGUGAUCUUACCAUCUACCAUCAACAAACUUUUUGCUUAGCGAGUGUAGUAAUGUUUACUUUG